ACAUAAUUAAUUUAAGAAUUUUGAGAUGAGGAGAUCAUCCUGGAUUAUUUGGGAGGACUCCAAAUCCAAGGACAAGUGUCUUUAUAAGAGACCCAGAGAGGAAAAGGCGACGUGAAGACUGGUCAAGGCACAGAAAGAACUUUCCCGAGAGUGUGUGGGGAGUGAAGCCUUCUUAACAGCCCCAUAGCAUCCUGAUUUUGUGCCAAAGGGCAGGUGGCAAUGGUAAGAGGUCUUUACCAUCUCAAGAGCUGGAUGAGCCUAGAGAAAUGACAGAAUCAAGAGUUUGCCUGGGGAGACAGAAGUCCGUCUGGAGUUGGUGUGAGGAGUGAGUGGGACAUCAGCAGCAGCUGGGGGCUGAAGAGAAAGGGUAGUUUGGAGGAAAGU